rnacentral:rRNA from 1 species
AUUGAACGCUGGCGGCAUGCUUUAUACAUGCAAGUCGUGCGGCAGCGCGGGGGCAACUCUGGCGGCGAGCGGCGAACGGGUGAGUAAUACAUAGGAACGUAUCCUGAAAUGGGGGAUAGCUCGGCGAAAGCCGGAUUAAUACCGCAUACGCUCCACGGAGGAAAGCAGGGGAUCGCAAGACCUUGCGUUUCUGGAGCGGCCUAUGUCUGAUUAGCUAGNGGCGGGGUAAUAGCCCACCAAGGCGACGAUCAGUAGCUGGUCUGAGAGGAUGAUCAGCCACACUGGGACUGAGACACGGCCCAGACUCCUACGGGAGGCAGCAGUAGGGAAUUUUGGACAA